AUAGAAGUUGUUACAGGUUUCUUGUUGCGGUACUCCAUUCCGGUUUUUUUAUUUCAAAUUUGAAAUCUAACCGGGUUUUUUGUAGUAUAUGCAUAAAAACACAAGAAUAUAGCGAUUGUUUCGUAAUUGUGAUAAAUAACGCCAAAAGUGAGAAAGUUUGGUCAUUAUACGGGCAGAGAUGUAGAAUAUGUGUAGUGAAAUGGUACAGCUUUUCAUAUUUAUGUAUCUGCUUCUAGCAUCCAGUGCCGUGUCGUGUCGUCAUUAUCGGUAAAGGUAAGAGUAUAGUUAUUUCUGGUGGAGAUUGAGAUUGAUAAAAGUUUAAAUAAUAUAAAAUGAAAUACAAAAUAACUCAUAUACUACAUAAUUUAGGAUCAAAUAUUGUAAUAUUUAUUAAAUAUAUGGACUCCACAGUGUAAAAGUUGAGUGCGAUUUUGAUAACUGUUAAGUGGGAUCAUUGACAGUUUCUGGGUCAAUAAGCGUAACUAAUCUUCGGAUAAGUUGUUCGAGGCUGACCAAGGUAAAUCCAAAAAGUUGUCUAAAGGAGGAAUUUUGAUACGAAGAGGAAAGUGGAACUGAAGAAGUAGGAUAAGAAA
rnacentral:lncRNA from 1 species